UGCGGGAGUGGUGGGCAACCCCUCUCUCACGCUCCAGUGUCCUCAUUGCCUGGAAUACUGGUGUUCCUCAUAUCACCAUGAGCUCAUGAGUGCAUCCUUAAAUAAACACUGAGGAACAGUGGGGAACUUUCCAGGAAUAGAAGAUUUCCCUGAGAACCUGGCACCAGCUACUAAGAAGGCAGUUUCAGAGUAUUGUUUCAGAUCCACCUUGGAAGAAAGAUGUGAUGAUGAUAAUCUCGGCCCAUUGUUACAAGAUAGAUGAAAAACAAAGGAAUAACUGCUCAGAGCUUCUAGAAAGUUUACUACAUGUGUGGCUGAUUCUAGCCCACGUUGUAUUUCCAGUUGUGCUGAUCUACACCAGUAUCAGAAAAGGUGAUUACUGAGAGCUUUAUGAAGAGAGUGGUUAAAUGUGAUGGAUCCCCAACUCCAGAGAGAUAAAGCAUUUGGGUGUACUUACUGAAUGUAGUAUGAUCUAAUAGAAUUAUGAAGCAAACAAGCAAAAUCAAAACAUAUCAUUACAGAUAUCUAAU